UGGGGAAUUUUGGACAAUGGGCGAAAGCCUGAUCCAGCAAUGCCGCGUGCAGGAAGAAGGCCUUCGGGUUGUAAACUGCUUUUGUACGGAACGAAAAGGCUCUUUCUAAUAAAGAGGGCCCAUGACGGUACCCUAAGAAUAAGCACCGGCUAACUACGUGCCAGCAGCCGCGGUAAUACGUAGGGUGCGAGCGUUAAUCGGAAUUACUGGGCGUAAAGCGUGCGCAGGCGGUUCUAUAAGACAGAUGUGAAAUCCCCGGGCUCAACCUGGGAAUGGCAUUUGUGACUGUAGAGCUAGAGUACGGUAGAGGGGGAUGGAAUUCCGCGUGUAGCAGUGAAAUGCGUAGAUAUGCGGAGGAACACCGAUGGCGAAGGCAAUCCCCUGGACCUGUACUGACGCUCAUGCACGAAAGCGUGGGGAGCAAACAGGAUUAGAUACCCCCGUAGUCCCUGAGCGGGCUGGCAAGGCGCAU
rnacentral:rRNA from 1 species